CUAGAGGUUCAACUCCUGAUCCAUGGAGACUCACCAGUGCUAAGGGACUUCUGUUCAAUUGGAUCAAACUUGGCUGUAUUGUGGUGCUGAAGAUGCAAGGGAGGAAAGAGGCUGUUUGGGCAGAAAAUGAUGAUCCUUAGCUGCUAACUCUGUCAGCACAAAGAGAGUGGGACUGCAGAUGACCUCCAACACUGAAUAAACCAAAAAGGAUUCAUUUAACGUUUGAGAACAAAUUCUCAGGACACCCCAGAGGCCUUGAUAUGCUCAUGUGCCCUGCGUUGCACUGCAAUACGCCAGGAGGUGGCUGCAGUAAGCAGUAAAUCCACCUAACUGUGGGAUCAUCAUGUUAUUAAAGAAUAACAGGGAUCCCCUGUGAUCAGCAUUAAUGGACUGGGGCGAGAACAGAGAAGGUGACUUCACAUUUAUGAAUAUCAAAUAAUGAGGGCUCAGCUUUUUGCCUUCCAGCAGUCAAGUUCUUCUUCUGGGAAGUGCCUCUCUGUCGGGGUAACAAACAUUUUUAAGUUGACUGAUACAUUUUAAAAGUAGU